AGAGUUUGAUCCUGGCUCAGGAUGAACGCUGACAGAAUGCUUAACACAUGCAAGUCUACUUGAAUUUGGGUUUUUAACUUAGAUUUGGGUGGCGGACGGGUGAGUAACGCGUAAAGAACUUGCCUCACAGCUAGGGACAACAUUUAGAAAUGAAUGCUAAUACCUAAUAUUAUGAUAAUAGGGCAUCCUAUAAUUAUGAAAGCUAUAUGCGCUGUGAGAGAGCUUUGCGUCCCAUUAGCUAGUUGGAGAGGUAACGGCUCACCAAGGCGAUGAUGGGUAGCCGGCCUGAGAGGGUGAUCGGCCACAAGGGGACUGAGACACGGCCCUUACUCCUACGGGAGGCAGCAGUGGGGAAUAUUGGACAAUGGACCGAGAGUCUGAUCCAGCAAUUCUGUGUGCACGAUGAAGUUUUUCGGAAUGUAAAGUGCUUUCAGUUGGGAAGAAAGAAAUGACGGUACCAACAGAAGAAGUGACGGCUAAAUACGUGCCAGCAGCCGCGGUAAUACGUAUGUCACGAGCGUUAUCCGGAUUUAUUGGGCGUAAAGCGCGUCUAGGUGGUUAUAUAAGUCUGAUGUGAAAAUGCAGGGCUCAACUCUGUAUUGCGUUGGAAACUGUAUAACUAGAGUACUGGAGAGGUAAGCGGAACUACAAGUGUAGAGGUGAAAUUCGUAGAUAUUUGUAGGAAUGCCGAUGGGGAAGCCAGCUUACUGGACAGAUACUGACGCUGAAGCGCGAAAGCGUGGGUAGCAAACAGGAUUAGAUACCCUGGUAGUCCACGCUGUAAACGAUGAAUACUAGGUGCUGGGAGGCAUAAGCCUUUCGGUGCCGUCGCAAACGCAUUAAGUAUUCCACCUGGGGAGUACGUUCGCAAGAAUGAAACUCAAAGGAAUUGACG
rnacentral:rRNA from 1 species